GAAUAUUGGACAAUGGGCGAAAGCCUGAUCCAGCCAUGCCGCGUGUGUGAAGAAGGUCUCCGGAUUGUAAAGCACUCUAAGUUGGGAGGAAGGGCAGUAAGCGACUACCGUGCUGUUUUGACGUUACCGACAGAAUAAGCACGGGCUAUCUCUGUGCCAGCAGCCGCGGUAAUACAGAGUGUGCACGUGUUAAUCGGAAUUACUGGGCGUAAAGGGCGCGUAGGUGGUUCGUUAAGUUGGAUGUGAAAUCCCCGGGCUCAACCUGGGAACUGCAUCCAAAACUGGCGGGCUAGAGUAGGGCAGAGGGUGGGGGAAUUUCCUGUGUAGCGGUGAAAUGCGUAGAUAUAGGAAGGAACACCAGUGGCGAAGGCGACCACCUGGGCUCAUACUGACACUGAGGUGCGAAAGCGUGGGGAGCAAACA
rnacentral:rRNA from 1 species